rnacentral:rRNA from 1 species
UACGAAGGGGGCUAGCGUUGCUCGGAAUCACUGGGCGUAAAGGGUGCGUAGGCGGGUCUUUAAGUCAGGGGUGAAAUCCUGGAGCUCAACUCCAGAACUGCCUUUGAUACUGAAGAUCUUGAGUUCGGGAGAGGUGAGUGGAACUGCGAGUGUAGAGGUGAAAUUCGUAGAUAUUCGCAAGAACACCAGUGGCGAAGGCGGCUCACUGGCCCGAUACUGACGCUAAGGCACGAAAGCGUGGGGAGCAAACAGGAUUAGAA